GUGGGAGAAGCAGUUUUUCACCAUCUCCUCCCCCGCCUCCCCCAGAGAGGAGGAAGUUGUCACAGAUAUAUAGAUCCAGGCGUGCCAGCUCCUGACACACGCAUCACGACCAUGAGACAGAACUGGAUUCCAGACCCCAGCCCUCUUUGGGCCCUGCUCCUCUGUGCCCACAUCGUCUCCCACCUGGCCAGAGCCACAUCUGUGCCUCAGGCCACUACAGCUGCCACUGCCUCAGCUGGGAUCGCAAAGGACACCUGCCCCUCUCGGCCCCCAGCGCUCCCGACAGCUAAGCAGUGCCCAGCAUUGGAGGUGACCUGGCCGGAAGUGGAAGUCUCACUGAAUGGAACGCUGACCUUGUCCUGUACUGCCUGCAGCCGCUUCCCCCACUUCAGCAUCCUUUACUGGCUGGGCAACAGCUCCUUCAUCGAGCACCUCCCGGGCCGGCUGCGGGAGGGCAGCACCAGGCGGGAGCACAGGGGCACGAGGACCCAGCUGUGGAGGGCCUUGGUGCUGGAGGAGCUGAGCCCCGCCCUGCGAGACACCAACUUCUCCUGUGUUUUCUCGGAUCCUGGGCAGACUGCCCAGCGUCACCUCGUCCUGGCCCAGCUCUGGGCUGGGCUGAAGACGAGCGUACCCCCGACACAAGAAGCCCUGUCCUCCAGCAAGUCCCCUCAGCCUCACCAUCCUGAUAAUGAACCCCAAGCUCCAAAGCCUGGUUGAAAUGCCACCUCUUCAUUGAGCUCUACACGCUCUCAGCCCAGGCCACAUUCUGCAUCGACUUAAUGUUGUAUUUGUUUCGACUGUCCCAGGGAAGAACGUGGCCUGUCUGAGGAGGGAGUGUGGGAAGAGGAGAGAGAAUGCCACUCAGAAGCUACAGACAAAACCAGAUUCAGGGGACACAGGCCCUCAGAAGAGAAGAGGCCGGCCCAUAAUGCUCCUCAGGAGCAGAGGCCAGAAAUGGAGUGUGGGAAGAUCCUGUGGCCUGAGAAAGGCCAGGAGAAGGGAUCUGAGAGAAGGGAACGGCCUGCUGCCCAGGCUGGUCAGCAGGACAUUGAGUGAUGUGACCCAACUCAAGUGCUGCCAGAGCCACCUGCCUGUGCUCGCCUCCAACCCCCACCUGCAGAGACAGAGACAGCACAGCUGACUCAGGAGCCGACACCCCACCACGUCCUACUGCCGCUGCUGCCGCUCCAGCCCCAACCUUCCCAGGCCAGACAGGGCCAGGGGACCCAGUCUACCACUCCAGCAGACGUACUCAGUGAGUGCCCAUCCCCCCUCCUCCCAGAUACGUCCAGAGAAAAAGCCAGAUGCUCGGACCUCUUCCCAAUAUCCACAAGCCGUUAGGGUUCGUGCUAGCGGUGUGGCUGCUGUGAUUAGCACUGGGGGUCAGGCUGCUGGAAGAGGAGGGCAGGGGCAGCACAUGUACUCCAAGCCCACCCCACUCCCACAGAGAGGAAGAGCGAAGGGAGGGAGGGGACGAGAGGGAGCAUAACAGCCACAAACACUCCUGGCUCCCCCAGGCAUUCCAGGAGCUCAAGCAUGAUCAGCAAAGGUGAGAGGCAAGGGCUCCAUUGCUAACUGUUUGCUAUUCAGUUUGAGCUUCCCCAUCAUCUCAGGCUCCUCGGAGGAGAUGAUGGGAGGAGAGAAGGGCCGACUCCUCAGCAGGCCCAAGGUGACAGGGUAGGAGGAGUGGUGGAAAGCGUGCUCCCACUAAAUACCAGUUCGAUAGCUUUGACGUCUAGGGCAGCAGAGAUCCUUGUGAGGGCACGGCAGCCAGACCUCCCCUCCUCUGACUUGUGGGAGCCCCUCCUGCUCCUCUCAACCUUGGCCUUCUUGCUCCCAGACAUCACUACUCCAUGCUCGGGGUUAAAACCCCAGAGAGUGAUGGGCAGGCGUCCUGAGCUCACAACCCCCCUAAUCUAUGGGGACCUCCUGCACAUCAUCUUUCUGGUUUCUGUGGGGAAGAAGGGGCCUGUGUUAAACAAGGCCCAUGGGCAUCCUGCGAGUCCCCACAGUGGAGUACCCAAACUUGGAGUAGGUCUUGGAGGUUCAGGAAUCCCAAGAGCAGUCUGUCGCUGGAUCUGGUAUGGGAAAGAUGAAGCCUACCCUACCCCUCAUCCCUGACAAGCGAUGAAAGCACAGAAAAGUGGAGAGGCCGACCUGGGAUGGGUGGGAUGAGGCCUGAGAGAGGGCCUAGCACACUGCACUCCGGGGCGGCCUGGGCCUGGGUUCCACGGCUUGACCCUGCCCCCUUCACAAACAGUUCACAACAGGAGCCAGCGGAGGCAAGCUGCAGCCGGGGUCAUGCACCGAGACCAGUCACCGCUUAAGCAGCCAGCAUUUAGCGAGGACCUCAGGCAUUACCUGCUUAGUUUGCUCUCUCUGAAAUAACUCUAGCUGCUCCACCUGUGCGUGGGGAGGAGCAACGGAGACAGCAUGAGAUGGGGGCCAAAGAGGCACUGGCCCUGGUGCCAGGCUGACCUCACCGAGGCUCUAAUCUUCCCAUGGAACUAGACGUCUAAAAAUUUUUGUAAAUGCUAGCUCGGGUCAUUCUAGUCGCCGGUGGCUCUCGGGGCCUCCACUGCAAGUGCGCCUCCUCACGACACUGUGCCUCAACGGGCUGAUGGCCUUUGCAACCUGACUCUCCAGGGACAGAGGCUUCAGAGAAGAGGAGGCUAUUGGUAUUUUCUGUAGGCCAACGGGGUGGGGGCAACAGACUUGAACUCUACCAGUCACCUCUCUUCCUCUGCCACCCAGUGAGUGUGGGAAGACAAGACACUCUAAUCAUGUGGGAGCCGGAGGCCCAGGAAUGCAGAGAGACAACGUCCCCCCCUCCCACAGGGCUGCUCUCUGGGGGCGUGCUUGAGCUGGAUGCCUCACCUGGGCUGUGAGUUUCUGCCUCUCCUCCUGGAAACGCUGCCUCUCCUCCAGGACCUUGGCCUUGGCACCCUCGUACUUGGCAGUCAUCACCUCCAGCUCCCGGGCAGAACUCUGUGCCUCCCGCUGCAUCUCGGCCAGACGGGUCUCAGCCUCAGCACGCACAGCUGCCAGCUCUUGGCCGUACUUCUCCCGGGCCUGGUCCAGCUCCACUUCCAGGAACUGCCGGCCGAGGUUGGCCCGCUCGCCCAGCCCCCGGUUCUCCUCCGCCAGCAGGCCAUGAGCCUUCUUCAGCAUGCUCAGCUGCUCUGCGUAGCUGGCCUUCUCUGCCCGCAGCUGCUGGGCUGCUCGCUCCUGCUCUGCCACCUUCUGCCGCAGGGGCACCAGCUCCCCGAGCUCGCGCUGGGCCCGCAGCAGCUCUGCGUGCAGCCCACCGGCUGCCUGCUUGCUCUGCUCCAGCUCCUCUCGAUGGCGUUUCUCAGUGGCUGCCUGCUCAGCCUGCAGCUGCUGGCACAGGUGCUUAGCGGGCAGCAGCUCGCUCACCAGGGCCUGCGUGCUGGUGUGCUCAAGCUGCAGGGCAGACAGGGCCUGCUCCUUCUGGAAGAACUUCUCCUGCCAAGCCUUCAACUCUUGGCCCAGCUCUUCUGCUCGCUCUGCCUGCGAGGCCAGCUCCUGCCUCAGGCUCUCGGAAGCCACCCGCUGCUUCUCUGCCUCCUCCCGGAGGGUCUGGACCUCCUCCCGCAGAGCGGAACUGCGUUCCGCGGCCCUGGCGCUGCUGCUGGCCGUCUCUGCCUGGAGCAGACGCAGCCUCUCUUCCAGCUUCUGACUCUUCUCUGACUCGGCACUAACCAGCCGCUUCAACUCCUUGCUCUCGCCUUCCUUCUCCAGCACCUGGCGGUUCAGGAUGGACACCUCCUCCUCCAAGCUGCUGAUGAGGCUGUUUUUCCUCUCAGCCUCCUGCUGACUCCGGGCCACCUGUGCCUUCCACCCAUCCUCAGCCUUGCCGUGCUCUUGGGCCUUGGCGCGGAGGGUGGCCAGCUCCCUCUGGGCUGAGGCUAAGGUGUCCUGACCGCUCCCCAGUUCCUGGGCCUUCUGCUCUAACUGGCCCCGCAAAGUCUCCAGAGCACUGGCCUGCUCCGCGUGGGAGGCGCGCUCAGCCUCGAGGCUGCGCUCCAGGCUGGAGGACUUCUCCUGAUACUCGCAGACCUGUUGCUCCAGCCUGCUCACCUCUGCCCGCAGAGCCUCCAGCUCCGGGCCUGUUUGCUCCGUCUUUCCGGUAGCCUCAGACUGGGCUCCCGACCCGGAAGCGUCUUCUCGGCUGGCCGUCCCUAGAGACUGUGGGCACUCCUCCUCUUUCCCGGCCAGCUGUUCCUUCAGCCGCUCCACAGUCUGCUGAAGCUCCUUCAGCUCUGCCCCCUGGGCUGCCUCCUGCCCACGAAGCUUGGCCAGCUCCUGAUCCUUCCCCUCCUUUUCCAUCAGGGCGCGGGCCAGUGCCUCCUGCAAGGCAGCAAACUCCACACGCUGCUCGUUGAGGGCAUUCUGCAGCCGCAUCUCAAGCUCGGCCUUGGCGGCCUUCUCCAGGGCAAGGUCGGCUUGGGCCCGGCCCCGCUCCUGGGUCAGCCGCGCCACCUCCCUCUCCUGCUGUCCACGCUCCUCCUGCUGCUGCCCCUGGCUCUCCAUCAGCGCGGCGCGCAGCCUCUCCAGCUCACUGCCCAUUUGCUCUGCCUCACGCUCCAUGGCCUGCAGUGCAGCCUGCGUGCUGCAGAACGGGCGUCCCUGAUGCUCUUUCAGCCACUCCGACUCUCUGUCUCCUGCCCUGGGCGGCUCCUUGAGUAGCUCCUGGGAGGCCGUUUCAUGCUGCUCACCCGCCUUGCGCACCAAGGCCUCCAGGCGGACCACCUCCUUGCUGGUGGCAGCCAUCUUCUCCUGCAGAGCGGACAGGUCGUCUGCGAGCUUCUGGGCCCUGACCUCCUUCUCCUGGACCUGCUGCAGGGCCCUGGCCAGGCUGGCGUGGAGCUGAGCAAGCUCACUCUGCUGCCGGCCGAUCUGGAGCUCGCUGUGGGCCUCUAUCCCUGCCACCUUCUCCUUUGCCUCCUGCAGCUCCUGGCGGGCCUUCUCGCAUUCCUCCUUCAGGGUCAUCAGCUGUUCCUGGAAUAUGGCUCCGUACUGUGCCUCCUCCUGCUGGCUGUCCUCGUACCGCUCACGCCAGGUGGCCACCUCCUUGGCAAGCUGCUCACACUCACUCUCAGCCUCGCGCUGGGAGGCGAUGGCCUCAGCCAGCUCCUGCCGCAGGGCUUCUGUCUUGGCCUGAUGGGCCUCCCCGAGCUGCUGCAGUCGGGCCUCCAGCCCCCUGCGCCCAGCCUUCUCUUCUUCCAGCUCCUGCUGUUCCUGCUCGUGCUGCUCCACCAGGCUCCGGGCCUCUGCCUCCAGCCUGGAGAUGCAUCGCUGCUGCUCUUCCAGGAUGUCUGCAGCCCUGUGCUUCUCCUCUUCCAGGCUGCCCUUGGUGACCUUCAAGGACUCCUCAAGGGCCCGGACCUGCUCCUGGAGCUGGGCCUUCUCCUGGGCCACCGUUUCUCUCUCGGUUGCUUUUUGCUGCUCAGACCUCAGCUGGGCCUUCAGCUCUGUCAUCUGGGCCUGCGCCUCACACCGCUCCUGGUGGGCUGCCUCAGCACGGGCAUGGAGCUCCUCCACCUUCUGGCUCAGCUCUGCCUUCUCCCGCCGGGCCUGUGUCACCGAGGUCUGGGCACUGUCCCGGGCUUCACUAGCAGCCUGAAGCUGCUGUUGCAGGACUUCCAGCUCGGCGGCCUUCUCCUUCCCCAGUGCCUCCAGCUGCUGGAGGGCCGCAUCCCUCUCCCGUAAAGAGGCCUCCCGCUCCUCAGCCGCAGCGGCCAGCUGCUGGGCGUGGUCUCGCCGGGUGGCCUUCUGCUCCUUGGUGGCCUCUUCCAACUGCUGUUCCUUCUGCUCCAGGCUGCUGCUCAGCUGCUCCACCUGCUGGCGGAGGCUCUGGGAGGCCUGUUCCUGCCGCUGGAGGGUCUGCGCGAGCUGCGCCUGCUCUGUUUGGGCCUGCUGCUUCAGGCCAGCCAGUUCUUGAUCCCGCUGCUGGACGGUGGCAUUGAGGGUGGCGAGCUCGGAGGUCAUCGUGGCCACCUGGGCAGACAGCCGGGCCCCUUGAGCCUGAGAGGCCUGCUCCAGCUCUUCCUUGGCCUGGCCAAGGUUGGACAGGGAGCCCUGCAGCUCGGCAAUCAGGCUGGCCAACUGCUGCUUUUCUUCUUCAAAGUGGCUCCGCUCGGCAAGCAACUUGGCUUCCCGCUGGCCCAGCUCAGUCUCCAGCACCUCCACUCUGGCUUGGAGCUGGGUGUUGUCUGCAGCGAGAGUGGCUGCCUCUUGUUUGAGAGUCUCCAGCUGGUGAGAUAAAGAGACAAAUGGGGCUCAGCACGACUCCUCGGUCCCCCGGCCCCUCUGGGGAUUGAGGACCGCCAGGAACCUGAACACGGCGAACGUGGGUCUGCAGCAAUCCCAGCACACAGGUCUCACCCCUGCCCCUGAGAUCCUACCUGCAAGACAUCACCCAGCACCUCGCCCUUCUCCCGGGGUGGGUUCUCCCGCAGCUGGGCCAAAUGUUCUUCCAGCUGUGAAAGUUUUCCCUGAAGGAUUUCAUUCUUCUCUUCAAGGCAUUUCUGGGAGUAUACAAGAGCCCCAUGUUAACAGAAGUGGAACAGGCACCGGAUUACCACACAAACCCUUUUGAACAUCAACAAAACAUAAGACCUUAUUACCAAGAUCUCCUUUUGCCCUGACCUAGGGGAAAACUUGCAGAAAUCAAGGACCUGGGACCAUGAGAGACCUGACUCUCUAGCCCUGGUACCAGGGCUCAGUUAAGUCAAGUGACCUGCUCAUUUCUUCUCCAAGGCUGCUGAGUUUACUCCAGAUUUCCUCACUGUAUGCCCUUCCUCACUCAUGUCUUGACUCUCAGAUAAUCCAAAAACCCAUCAGCUUAAAAAUAUCCCAACAGUCUGAGCAUCAACAGCAGCAGCAUCCCCUGGUCCCCUGCCCCACUUUACACCACUGUUCACUAAGUACCUACAAUAGGCCAGGCACUGUGCUGGGUACCUCUCUGAAUUUCUAACCUACCCAACAGAUCUGGGAGGUAGCUACUACCAUCCCUUUUUUUUUUUCUACAGGGUAAGAAUCUGAAGCUCAGAAGUAAAGUGCUUUGCCCCCGGGCUACAUGGUUAUUAAUAAGUGGC